GAUGAAGAACGUAGUGAAAUGCGAUACGUAAUGUGAAUUGCAGAAUUCAGUGAAUCAUCGAGUCUUUGAACGCACAUUGCGCCCCCUGGUAUUCCGGGGGGCAUGCCUGUCCGAGCGUCAUUGCUGCCCUCAAGCACGGCUUGUGUGUUGGGCCCCGUCCUCCGAUCCCGGGGGACGGGCCCGAAAGGCAGCGGCGGCACCGCGUCCGGUCCUCGAGCGUAUGGGGCUUUGUCACCCGCUCUGUAGGCCCGGCCGGCGCUUGCCGAUCAACCCAAAUUUUUAUCCAGGUUGACCUCGGAUCAGGUAGGGAUACCCGCUGAACUUAAGCAUAUCAAUAAGCGGAGGA
rnacentral:misc_RNA from 1 species